UAAGCGACUAAGCGUACACGGUGGAUGCCUAGGCAGUCAGAGGCGAUGAAGGGCGUGCUAAUCUGCGAAAAGCGUCGGUAAGCUGAUAUGAAGCGUUAUAACCGACGAUACCCGAAUGGGGAAACCCAGUGCGAUACGUUGCACUAUCGUUAGAUGAAUACAUAGUCUAACGAGGCGAACCGGGGGAACUGAAAACAUUUAAAGUACCCCGAAGGGAAAAAAAAAUCAACCGAGAUUCCCCCAGUAGCGGCGAGCGAACGGGGAGGAGCCCAGAGUCUGAAUCAGUUUGUGUGUUAGUGGAAGCGUCUGGAAAGUCGCACGGUACAGGGUGAUAGUCCCGUACACCAAAAUGCACAGGCUGUGAACUCGAUGAGUAGGGCGGGACACGUGACAUCCUGUCUGAAUAUGGGGGGACCAUCCUCCAAGGCUAAAUACUCCUGACUGACCGAUAGUGAACCAGUACCGUGAGGGAAAGGCGAAAAGAACCCCGGCGAGGGGAGUGAAAUAGAACCUGAAACCGUGUACGUACAAGCAGUGGGAGCACCUUCGUGGUGUGACUGCGUACCUUUUGUAUAAUGGGUCAGCGACUUAUAUUUUGUAGCAAGGUUAACCGAAUAGGGGAGCCGUAGGGAAACCGAGUCUUAACUGGGCGUCUAGUUGCAAGGUAUAGACCCGAAACCCGGUGAUCUAGCCAUGGGCAGGUUGAAGGUUGGGUAACACUAACUGGAGGACCGAACCGACUAAUGUUGAAAAAUUAGCGGAUGACUUGUGGCUGGGGGUGAAAGGCCAAUCAAACCGGGAGAUAGCUGGUUCUCCCCGAAAGCUAUUUAGGUAGCGCCUCGUGAACUCAUCUUCGGGGGUAGAGCACUGUUUCGGCUAGGGGGCCAUCCCGGCUUACCAAACCGAUGCAAACUCCGAAUACCGAAGAAUGUUAUCACGGGAGACACACGGCGGGUGCUAACGUCCGUCGUGAAGAGGGAAACAACCCAGACCGCCAGCUAAGGUCCCAAAGUCAUGGUUAAGUGGGAAACGAUGUGGGAAGGCACAGACAGCCAGGAUGUUGGCUUAGAAGCAGCCAUCAUUUAAAGAAAGCGUAAUAGCUCACUGGUCGAGUCGGCCUGCGCGGAAGAUGUAACGGGGCUAAACCAUGCACCGAAGCUGCGGCAGCGACACUUAGGUGUUGUUGGGUAGGGGAGCGUUCUGUAAGCCGUUGAAGGUGACCUGUGAGGGUUGCUGGAGGUAUCAGAAGUGCGAAUGCUGACAUAAGUAACGAUAAUGCGGGUGAAAAACCCGCACGCCGGAAGACCAAGGGUUCCUGUCCAACGUUAAUCGGGGCAGGGUGAGUGACCCCUAAGGCGAGGCUGAAAAGCGUAGUCGAUGGGAAACAGGUUAAUAUUCCUGUACUUGGUGUUACUGCGAAGGGGGGACGGAGAAGGCUAGGCUGGCCGGGCGACGGUUGUCCCGGUUUAAGCGUGUAGGGGGAGUGACCAGGUAAAUCCGGUUGCUUAUCAACCCUGAGGCGUGAUGACGAUGCACCACGGUGCAGAAGCAGUUGAUGCCAUGCUUCCAGGAAAAGCCUCUAAGCAUCAGGUAACAUUAAAUCGUACCCCAAACCGACACAGGUGGUCAGGUAGAGAAUACUCAGGCGCUUGAGAGAACUCGGGUGAAGGAACUAGGCAAAAUGGUGCCGUAACUUCGGGAGAAGGCACGCUGGCGUUAGGUGAAAGGACUAGCUCCUGGAGCUGAAGCCAGUCGCAGAUACCAGCUGGCUGCAACUGUUUAAUAAAAACACAGCACUGUGCAAAACACGAAAGUGGACGUAUACAGUGUGACGCCUGCCCGGUGCUGGAAGGUUAAUUGAUGGGGUCAGCCGCAAGGCGAAGCUCUUGAUCGAAGCCCCAGUAAACGGCGGCCGUAACUAUAACGGUCCUAAGGUAGCGAAAUUCCUUGUCGGGUAAGUUCCGACCUGCACGAAUGGCGUAAUGAUGGCCAGGCUGUCUCCACCCGAGACUCAGUGAAAUUGAACUCGCUGUGAAGAUGCAGUGUACCCGCGGCAAGACGGAAAGACCCCGUGAACCUUUACUAUAGCUUGACACUGAACAUUGAGCCUUGAUGUGUAGGAUAGGUGGGAGGCCUUGAAGUGUGGACGCCAGUCUGCAUGGAGCCAACCUUGAAAUACCACCCUUUAAUGUUUGAUGUUCUAACUCGGCCCCAUGAUCUGGGGUGAGGACAGUGUCUGGUGGGUAGUUUGACUGGGGCGGUCUCCUCCCAAAGAGUAACGGAGGAGCACGAAGGUUAGCUAAUCACGGCCGGACAUCGUGAGGUUAGUGCAAAGGCAUAAGCUAGACUUGGACUGGAAGAGGGCCGCGCUCGAACCAGGUACGAAAGUAGGUCUUAGUGAUCCGGUGGUUCUGAAUGGAAGGGCCAUCGCUCAACGGAUAAAAAGGUACUCCGGGGAUAACAGGCUGAUACCGCCCAAGAGUUCAUAUCGACGGCGGUGUUUGGCCCCUCGAUUUGGGCUCAUCACAUCCUGGGGCUGAAGUAGGUCCCAAGGGUAUGGCUGUUCGCCAUUUAAAGUGGUACGCGAGCUGGGUUUAGAACGUCGUGAGACAGUUCGGUCCCUAUCUGCCGUGGGCGUUGGAAGAUUGAGAGGGGCUGCUCCUAGUACGAGAGGACCGGAGUGGACGAAUCACUGGUGUUCGGGUUGUCAUGCCAAUGGCAUUGCCCGGUAGCUAAAUUCGGAAGAGAUAACCGCUGAAAGCAUCUAAGCGGGAAACUUGCCUCGAGAUGAGUCUUCCCUGGGGCUUAAAGCCCCCUGAAGGAACGUUAAAGACUAUGACGUUGAUAGGCUGGGUGUGUAAGUGCAGCGAUGUAUUGAGCUAACCAGUACUAAUGAUCCGUGAGGCUUAACCU
rnacentral:rRNA from 1 species